CCAUUGCCGGCAGCUAUAAUGCAAGUCGAGCGGAUCUUCAUUAGCUUGCUUUUGAAGAUCAGCGGCGGACGGGUGAGUAACACGUGGGCAACCUGCCUGUAAGACUGGGAUAACUUCGGGAAACCGGAGCUAAUACCGGAUAAUCCUUUCCCUCACAUGAGGGAAAGCUGAAAGACGGUUUCGGCUGUCACUUACAGAUGGGCCCGCGGCGCAUUAGCUAGUUGGUGAGGUAACGGCUCACCAAGGCAACGAUGCGUAGCCGACCUGAGAGGGUGAUCGGCCACACUGGGACUGAGACACGGCCCAGACUCCUACGGGAGGCAGCAGUAGGGAAUCUUCCGCAAUGGACGAAAGUCUGACGGAGCAACGCCGCGUGAACGAUGAAGGCCUUCGGGUCGUAAAGUUCUGUUGUCAGAGAAGAACAAGUACCGGAGUAACUGCCGGUACCUUGACGGUACCUGACCAGAAAGCCACGGCUAACUACGUGCCAGCAGCCGCGGUAAUACGUAGGUGGCAAGCGUUGUCCGGAAUUAUUGGGCGUAAAGCGCGCGCAGGCGGUUCCUUAAGUCUGAUGUGAGCCCCCGGCUCACCGGGGAGGGUCAUUGGAAACUGGGGAACUUGAGUGCAGAAGAGGAGAGCGGGGUAGCGGUGAAAUGCUUAAAGAUGUGGAGGAACACCAGUGGCGAAGGCGGCUCUCUGGUCUGUAACUGACGCUGAGGCGCGAAAGCGUGGGGAGCGAACAGGAUUAGAUACCCUGGUAGUCCACGCCGUAAACGAUGAGUGCUAAGUGUUAGAGGGUUUCCGCCCUUUAGUGCUGCAGCAAACGCAUUAAGCACUCCGCCUGGGGAGUACGGCCGCAAGGCUGAAACUCAAAGGAAUUGACGGGGGCCCGCACAAGCGGUGGAGCAUGUGGUUUAAUUCGAAGCAACGCGAAGAACCUUACCAGGUCUUGACAUCCUCUGACAACCCUAGAGAUAGGGCGUUCCCCUUCGGGGGACAGAGUGACAGGUGGUGCAUGGUUGUCGUCAGCUCGUGUCGUGAGAUGUUGGGUUAAGUCCCGCAACGAGCGCAACCCUUGAUCUUAGUUGCCAGCAUUCAGUUGGGCACUCUAAGGUGACUGCCGGUGACAAACCGGAGGAAGGUGGGGAUGACGUCAAAUCAUCAUGCCCCUUUAUGACCUGGG
rnacentral:rRNA from 2 species